UUUUUAGUAUAAGUAUGCCCCAUGAAAUAAUUGGGGCAUGCUUAUACUAAAG
rnacentral:pre_miRNA from 1 species